UGGCAUUAAACCCAUAUCUCAGAGCAUGU
rnacentral:piRNA from 1 species